GAGAACUUCCUCCUGCUGGGGACAGGACAGAUGAGGCAGAAGGGGAGGUUAGGGAGGUUUGAAGAGUGAGAAGAACUUCUGCAGUGGCUGACUUGGAAGAUGAAGGAGGUUAUGAACCAGGGAAUGGGGGCAGCCUCUAGAGGCUGAGAACCUGCUGACACCUACCCACAACCGCUAAGGAAAUGAAGACUUUAAUUCCACAACUGCAUGCAACUAAACUCAGCCAACAACCUGAAUAAGUCGGAAAAAGGCUUCUCCAGAGCCUCCAGAUAAGAGGCCAGGCUGGCGACACCUUGAUUUUGACCUUGUGAGACCUAGAGCAGAGAAACUAGCCAAGAUCACUCAGACUUCUGAUCUACAGAACUGUGAGACCGUAAAUUUAUGUUGUAUUAAGCCACUAAUUGCGUGGGAAUUUGUUACAGGAGCAAUAGAAAAUGAAUACACCUUCUGAUGUAGUUUAAUCAGUUGACAUUAGGGGUGACACCAAGAUGUGCUACACUGAACCCAACUUCUGCAUGUUUAAGACAAGAAUGUGCAUCUUUAUUUUUCCUGAAUAUUUCUAUUGUCUAAAUACCUUAGUAAAGUUUACUGCUUCUACGGAUGGCCUAAAAGUUCUGGCAAUGAAAGAAACGCAAGGUCAAAAAUUUACAUCAGGUAUCUGAAUGUGUAGCAUAUACAACUGAGUGUUGAAAGAAGACAAAAUCGUUUUCAUCACGAAGAAUAUGUGCUCAGUAAGAAUCAGAAUGUUCAAUUGUGUGAAGGUGGGAGAUGGGAAGAUUGGUAUUAUGGCCUGGAUCCAGAAAUCAGAUCACGAAGAAGUUUUUUACAAUGAGCAGAACACUCAACCUGAAAGCAGAAUGGAUUGAGUCACUGCAGCGUGGCAGUGGAAUGGUGUUUGAUGUUGGCAAAGGAAACAUGUACUUCUAGACUGGACAGUUUUCCCUUAGUUUACAGUUUCCAAAUAGAGACAUCACUUUGAAAUAACAUGGAGAACAUACAUGGAUGUACUGAACGAAGAAUAAAGUCUGUGUUGCAGUCCUGUCUCCAUUGACUUUUACAAAUAUGGCUUUGGAUGAAUCACCUAAGUUUUAUUUUUGAGAAUUUACGCUUACCAUGUAUAAAAUGAUAUUGCUAAUAUGUUUGCUGCCUACCCCAUUGGGUUUUGUGAGGAAUAAAUGAUAAUGCUAAGAAAAA
rnacentral:lncRNA from 1 species